UACGGAGGGUGCAAGCGUUGUCCGGAUUUAUUGGGUUUAAAGGGUGCGUAGGUGGGUCUGUAAGUCAGUGGUGAAAUCUCCGGGCUUAACUCGGAAACUGCCAUUGAUACUAUAGGUCUUGAAUUAUCUGGAGGUGAGCGGAAUAUGUCAUGUAGCGGUGAAAUGCUUAGAUAUGACAUAGAACACCAAUUGCGAAGGCAGCUCGUUACGCGAAUAUUGACACUGAUGCACGAAAGCGUGGGGAUCAAACAGG
rnacentral:rRNA from 1 species